GGGUGGAGUAAAGCCCUAGGAAUCUGCGUGGUAGUGGGGGGAUAACGUUCCCGAAAGGAACGGUAAUACCGCAUACGUCGUACGGGAGAAAGCAGGGGACGUUCGGGCCUUGCGCUAUCAGAUGAGCCUAGGUCGGAUUAGCUAGUUGGUGAGGUAAUGGCUCACCAAGGCGACGAUCCGUAACUGGUCUGAGAGGAUGAUCAGUCACACUGGAACUGAGACACGGUCCAGACUCUUACGGGAGGCAGCAGUGGGGAAUAUUGGACAAUGGGCGAAAGCCUGAUCCAGCCAUGCCGCGUGUGUGAAGAAGGUCUUCGGAUUGUAAAGCACUUUAAGUUGGGAGGAAGGGCAUUAACUUAAUA
rnacentral:rRNA from 1 species